AUUGAACGCUGGCGGCAUGCUUUACACAUGCAAGUCGAACGGUAACAGGGAGCUUGCUCCGCUGACGAGUGGCGAACGGGUGAGUAAUGCGUCGGAACGUGCCGAGUAGUGGGGGAUAACGCAUCGAAAGGUGUGCUAAUACCGCAUACGUACUGAGGUAGAAAGUGGGGGACCUUCGGGCCUCACGCUAUUCGAGCGGCCGACGUCUGAUUAGCUAGUUGGUGAGGUAAAGGCUCACCAAGGCGACGAUCAGUAGCGGGUCUGAGAGGAUGAUCCGCCACAGUGGGACUGAGACACGGCCCAGACUCCUGCGGGAGGCAGCAGUGGGGAAUUUUGGACAAUGGGCGCAAGCCUGAUCCAGCCAUGCCGCGUGUCUGAAGAAGGCGUUCGGGUUGUAAAGGACUUUUGUCCGGGAGCAAAUGCCUGGUGUUAAUAGCACUGGGAGCUGAGAGUACCGGAAGAAUAAGCACCGGCUAACUACGUGCCAGCCGCCGCAGUAAUAC
rnacentral:rRNA from 1 species